AACGAACGCUGGCGGCAUGCCUAACACAUGCAAGUCGAACGAACCCUUCGGGGUUAGUGGCGCACGGGUGCGUAACGCGUGGGAAUCUGCCCUUUGCUUCGGAAUAACAGUUAGAAAUGACCGCUAAUACCGGAUGAUGUCUUCGGACCAAAGAUUUAUCGGCAAAGGAUGAGCCCGCGUAGGAUUAGGUAGUUGGUGGGGUAAAGGCCUACCAAGCCGACGAUCCUUAGCUGGUCUGAGAGGAUGAUCAGCCACACUGGGACUGAGACACGGCCCAGACUCCUACGGGAGGCAGCAGUGGGGAAUAUUGGACAAUGGACGCAAGUCUGAUCCAGCAAUGCCGCGUGAGUGAUGAAGGCCUUAGGGUUGUAAAGCUCUUUUACCAGGGAUGAUAAUGACAGUACCUGGAGAAUAAGCUCCGGCUAACUCCGUGCCAGCAGCCGCCGUAAGAC
rnacentral:rRNA from 1 species